UUUUCUUUUCCCUCGUACCUAUUAGACGACCAUAAAAAUCCCUUCUCUCUCUUCUUCUUCUUCUUCUUCUCUUUCUCUCUCGACGGCCACAAACCCUUUCUCCCCAAAUCCCCCCACUCCCCAAAGCCCCACUUCGGCAGAGAAGAGAAGAGAAGCAAAGGAAGCUUACAAAGAAGGAGGGGUUUAUUUGUGGUAUUGGGUAAUUGUUGGAAAUGGAUUCAGAUCAGGGGAAGCUAUUCAUAGGUGGGAUUUCAUGGGAGACCACAGAGGAGAAGCUGAAGGAGUACUUUGAGAACUAUGGUGAUGUGGUCCAGACUGUGGUCAUGAGAGACAAGACCACUGGUAGACCCAGAGGCUUUGGCUUUGUUGUCUUUGCAGAUCCUUCCAUUCUCGAUAGGGUUCUUCAGGACAAGCACACCAUUGAUGCCAGAACGGUUGAGGCUAAGAGGGCCUUAUCAAGAGAGGAGCAGCAGACUUCUGCUAAAGCUGGAAAUCCUAAUUUUGCCAGGAACUCUGGGGGUGGUGGAGCUUUCAGAACCAAGAAGAUAUUUGUUGGAGGAUUGCCGCCCACUUUAAGUGAAGAAGGAUUCCGUGAGUAUUUUCAGGCUUAUGGCCAUGUAACUGAUGUAGUAGUGAUGUAUGACCAGAAUACUGGACGCCCUCGUGGGUUUGGGUUUAUUACCUUUGACACAGAGGAGUCUGUUGAUAGGGUUUUGCACAAAAAUUUUCAUGAUUUGAAUGGUAAGCAAGUAGAAGUAAAGCGGGCUCUUCCUAAAGAUGCCAAUCCUGGUGGUGGUAACCGUGCUAUGGGUGGCGGGGCAGGUGGUGGUGGUGCAGUUGGUAGUGGUUAUCAGAGCUAUGGGGUGUCUGGUGGCAAUCCAAAUUCAUAUGAUGGUCGAAUGGAUUCAAGUAGGUACAUGCAGCAACAGAGUACUGGGGGUGGUUUUCCUCCUUAUGGUUCUUCUGGGUAUAGUGCAGCUGGCUAUGGGUAUGCUCCUGCCAAUAAUGGCAUUAGUUAUGGUGGUUAUGGUAGUUAUGCUGGUGCCAAUACUGGCUAUGGUGGACCUGCUGGUGCGGCAUAUGGAAACCCCAAUGUCCCUAAUGCUGGUUAUGGAAGUGGUCCACCAGGUGCUCCUAGAAGUUCAUGGAGCACUCAAUCUCCAUCUGGAUAUGGUGCCAUGGGUUAUGGGAAUACUACUCCUUGGGGUACUCAAAGUGGCAGCACUGGUGCUGCUAGUGGUGGCCCAGGGUCUGCACCUGCGGGUCAGUCACCGAGUGGAGCCACUGGUUAUGGGAAUCAAGGUUAUGGCUAUGGUGGAUAUGGUGGAAGUGAUGGGUCUUAUGGGAAUCCUAGUGGGUAUGGUGCAGUUGGGGGGCGUUCUGGGAGUGUCCCAAAUAACAAUGCUGGUAGUCAAGGUGGGGGUGAUCUACAAGGGUCUGGUGGUGGCUACAUGGGAAGUGGCUAUGGUGAGGCAAAUGGAAAUUCUGGAUAUGGAAAUGCAGCAUGGAGAUCUGACCAAUCACAAACUUCUGGAAAUUAUGGCACUCCUCAGGUGAACGGUCCUCAUGGUGGGCAAGUUGGCUAUGGUGGGUAUGGCAGUGCUCAGGCCCGAGCUCAACAACAGUAAUUAUGAUGGCCACAAGUCCAACUGGAUCUUCAUCUUUGUUUCUUUACCGUGCGGGUCAUAUUUGUUUUCCAUGCCAAGCAGCAGAGGGAGAGGCGCAUGUUGAGUGAUGCGCAAGGUCUAAAGUGGAGUGAAGUGUCCACUCAUGGCUGAACACGAGCUUCAUUGUGGGGGCAGGGGGGAGUGUUCAGCGUGGAAUGGGAUUUGAGGACAUUGUUCAGUUGAAAUUUCAGAUUUACCUGGGACAGGUCAUUCUCCAGCCUGGCCAUGCCAACACUCAAAUUUUGCAGAUUCCGGGCAUUUUCAAGUCAUAGAUUUCCUAAUCUUCACUCGGUUGUGGUGGACUGUUGAAAUUUGUGAGGUGAGCUACUUACAGUAUGUUGACUUCAGGGGUUAGCUGUGUCUCACUUAUAAAUUCAUUGUGAUUUAAUUGAUUAGGCUGCCUUCUGAUGAUGUUUAGAGUAUCGGAGAACUUGUCCUUGUUAAAAACAAUUGCCAUAAAGUUUCAGAAUGAAUUAAAGGACUUCCAAUAAA